rnacentral:rRNA from 1 species
UACAGGGGGGGGCAAGCGUUGUUCGGAAUUACUGGGCGUAAAGGGCCAGUAGGCGGCCAACUAAGUCGCACGUGAAAUCCCCAGGCUUAACCUGGGAACUGCGUGUGAUACUGGAUGGCUUGAAUUCGGGAGAGGGAUGCAGAAUUCCAGGUGUAGCGGUGAAAUGCGCAGAUAUCAGGAGGAACACCAAUGGCGAAGGCAGCUCGCUGGGACGUGACUGACGCUGAGACGCGAAAGCGUGGGGAGCAAACAGG